UGGCUGUCGUCAGCUCGUGCCGUGAGGUGUUAGGUUAAGUCCUCGCAACGAGCGCACCCUCGUCGCUAGUUGAAUUUUCUAGCGAUACUGCCCGUAAAACGAGGAGGAAGGUGGGAUGACGUCAAGUCAGCACUGGCCCUUACGCCUUGGGCUACACACACGCUACAAUGGGUGAUACAGCAGGUUGCGAAAGAGCGAUCUGGAGCUAAUCCUUAAAAUCCAUCCUCAGUUCGGAUUGCAGGCUGAAACUGCCUGCAUGAAGUUGGAGUUGCUAGUAACCGCAGGUCAGCAAUACUGCGGUGAAUACGUUCCCGGGGGAUU
rnacentral:rRNA from 1 species